AACUUGUUCAAAGCUGCAAAGCAUUUCCUGAUUUAAUGUAAGAUCGAGCAUUCACAACUUGCUACAUAUUGUCCCUGGAUGUCUUUUGUUCAGUAGGGUAAGAUUUUGUGCCAUGAUGGGGCGAUCAACAUUUUGCUAUCUCAUAUGCAUCAGAAUAUUGCAGUGCUGAUACAACCUGAUGUCAAUGCCUCACGCAUGUGAUUUGAUGCUACUGUAUUUUCAUCAAAAUGUGACUGAAUUAUGAAUAUUUUGAUCAUUUAUUCAUAGUAUCCAGUGUUCCUAAAGAAUUAAUUGUUUGUAAACCGCUGCCCAAUGUAACUGUAACUGAAAUAUUCAAGAAGUUUUAGUAUUUAUCACAUUCUUUUUCACAAUGCCCAGGCAAAGAGGGAGUUGAAUGAUCCAGAGAAUGCAUUAAUUGGUGCUUUUGCUGGUGCCAUUACUGGAGCUAUAACAACACCGAUGUCCUGAAGACAAGAUUGAUGGAUCAGGGACAAGGAAACCAAUACUCUAGAAUAGUAAGCUGUGCUGAGACAAUCCUGAGGGAGGAAGGCCCCAGGGCAUUCAUGGAUAUAAACAACUUCAAUACUUCUAACGACAAAAAAAAACAGUAUAUGACCUGAUGUGAACUUGAAACUUUUGGAUUUGUCGUCGAAUAAUUUCUCAAAUCUGACUUGUCGCUUCAGUUUGGUUUAAACUAUGUUUUGGCCUAGCAAAUGAUGCACAACGGUAUCUGACUUGCCGGAUUGGAUGAUAAACUGAUAAUUGUGCAGACUUAGUGGUAUAUUAAACACAACAGUGGCAGCAUAAGAUUACAUCUGAGAUGAUAAAAUGGUUUGUUCUAUCUAUUGAAAGACUUUGAGUUAGCAACUUUGCAUUCCUUGAAAUAAUCUUUAGAAUUCAGUUCCCCUCUGUUGGAAACUGUCCUGUUUACAUAGUACUCACAUUCAGUACUAUCUAAGUCAUAGUUUUGACCUUUUGAACUCACGGUGUUCUUUUAUGUAAUAUAGACAGUUUCUCCAAAGUAUCGACCUGAUAAUUUUUUCUGCUUAUAAUAUGAUGCUGCCUUCUUACCUAUGCACCACUUAUUUUUUGGUUUCCUCAUACAUAUUCCACCUACACUAUAAAAGAAGCCCGUAAUCAACUGCGGUUAUAGCGUGUUUAUAUUUGAGCCUUCACUCCUCAUGGCAUCUGAAGCAAAAGAACUGCUCAUCUUUUAGGUAUAUUAUCCAGGUUGAAGACAGGCCAAAGAUAAUGUGAGGUGAUUAUGUAAUGUGAAGCAGAAGCGCAGCUGGUUAGCGCUGGACUUCGCCAUCUUAUGGUUGCAAAUGUACGUGAGGGGAUUAUGUAAUCUGACGCAAAUGCAAAGCUGUGUUGAUUUGCUAGUCGAAAAAUGGUUUACUUCAAUGCUUUGUCCCAACCAUGAGAGUGGCUUUAGAGGUCCCGCCAAUUCUUGAGCUGUUGUUGAACUCUUGGACAUCAGCAGGAGCUAGUAAUUUUUAUUUUGUAACUGUUACAUUGACAAAAUUAUAUGCAUGUGCCUGAGGUAGUAAUCAACAGGAGCUAGUAGCUAGUAUAUGUAUGCAUAUAAUCUUCUUUUGUAACCAUUACACUUGGACAUCGGUAGG